AAAACCUUGCAGAGCUUCUGCUUAUUCCAUGGAUCUUAUGCAAGGAUUUUGCAUCAUUCUACACAGCUGUCAAGGAUCUUGUAACAGGCCUGCAGAAAUACUUGUCAUAUAUGUCUGGAAUGAAGGAGAGAACUGCACAGAAUCUAAGAAAAUCAGAGCCUGUGAGAAGUUUUAAAGACAACUGGAGUCUCAAAAAAGUUGGAAAGGUGAAGGAUGUGAAGGAUGAAUACAAGAAACUUGAUGAUUUUUUGAAGAAUGUUGCAACUUACACGGCAAAAGACUUGAUCGACUUCGAACCAGAGGACAAAACUGAGCGAAGGAAGUGGUAUGAUAACUUGUACUUAUCUUUUGGCAUUUCAUUGUUUACCUACAGAUAUGGUAACUAUCUGGGAAAUGUGAAUUUAGUGUGGAAAGUAAAUGAAGAGGACACUCAGCAGUCGACAUCUAUGGAAAUUGGGAUUGUGAACAAAAUAAGAGAAAGUAUACCUAAAUAUGCUACAAGACAAAUGCAGAAAGACUUUAUUCUCAAAUACCAUAAGCAUUCAGGGGGAAGUAAAUCAAUUUUGAGAAACAUGUAUCAAUUUCUUACAGACUAUGAGUACACACCUGAAAAUAAGCAAACGGCACAAAUUGACCUGCGUACUAGUAAAAUUUUACUGGAACUAGACGACACAGAGUUGAUCUUUGAUCUUCGUAAGAAUAAUGGAAAGACUUGUGAUCCCAGACUUGAGCCAUUCUGGAGUGAACUAGGGAAAUUCUUGGAUGAAAAGUCGGUGGUUCAUGAAAGGAGGCAUACAGACACCCAGUAUAUGCCCUUUGCUAUGUCUGUAGAAGACUUGCGAAACCAGAUUAUCAAACGCUUACCUGAAGGAACCCCAGCACCUUCGACUUCUUGGAUUAGAUUAAACUUCUGUCCUUCAAAUCCGAUGCACAAUUCUGCCCAAAAUUAUACAGGAAAAUUCAACGUAAAGUUUGCGGUUCAACAAAGACUUCUGAGAGUCCAGCAUGCUGACCUACCUUAUGGAAAACAUCAGUUUUACUUAUUAAAAGAUUUUGCCUGCAAAUGGAGAGACCAUGUUGUUUUACAGAGCCUGGAUGACAAAGCUAUUGUUCCAAUUGGUGAACCAGGGCAAGCAGUGUCAACUGGUGUCAGAGCACAUCAUGGAGGACUAGUUUCAGAUCCUAGGCAAAACUUGGCCCUUGAUCAUGAUUUCCAUGUGGCUGGAAUUGUUCCAAGUGUUUGUUUUGUUGUUGAUGUUCCAGAAAAUUCCAAAGACAGCUUUUACAAUGGAACAGUACAUGUUACUGUAAAAGAAAAGGUGUUCGAACCAUCAUCUCCUUUGAGACACAGCACUGAAACAAUUUCCAUAGUGCGAAAGUAUUUUUCACACAAUGAUGUUGACAUGGAAAAACCUAUUCUAUUGAGAAUAACUGAUGGCGGUCCUGAUCAUAGAACCACGUACAGAUCUGUGCAGUUGUGUUGUCUUCUUGAAUUUAUUGCAUUGGACUUGGACUUUUUUGCUUGCAUCAGAACAGCUCCAUCAGCAAGUUACUACAAUCCAGCUGAGCGAUGCAUGUCUACUCUAAAUAUAGCUCUGCAAAAUGUUGCUCUUCAGCGUGGACGAAUGAUUCCUGGACUUGAAAUGCAGACAAAAUCAUUUACCUCUUUGUCAAAACUAAGAAAUGCUGCAACUAAAAAUGCAUGUUUAAAGAAGGAAUACAAGGAAGCUAUGUCAGUACCAAUUGAAAUUUUGAAAGAAAGAUUCACCAGGCUGAAAUGGAAGGGGGAAAGUGUUGUCGUUCAUGAUGCUGCACAGGAAGACAUGAUGGUUGAUCUCUACAACAUCUUUCUUCUGAUUGAUGAUGAAGUGAAACCUGAACACGUCUCCAAUUUGAGGAUGUUGAAAUCAGAAAAGAUAGAUGCAUUCCUAGCAAAACAUGCACAAUCAAGGCACUACAGCUACCAGAUUAAGAAGUGUACAGAAGCUGACUGUGCAUACUGCACUUUGAACCCCCCACGCCUUUCCCAGGAGAUGCUGAAAGAUCUCCAUUUCAUACCUGAUCCUGUCUUGAAAGAAGAUGGUGUGUUUAAGUCUUUUGAAGAGACAUAUGGUACACCGACUACAGAUAAAGAUCGUCCUAGUCUGCAGGAAAAGGUGACAACAACUGAGCGAGACAAACAACUGAAAAAUCUCUUGGUUGCGACCAAAGUCAGAGAUUUUGUUGUUUGUUGCGAGUGUGGCAAGCGUAGAGUUGUAUAGUCCUCCAGAAAGCUUAGCGCUGCUGAGGAGAGGGCUCUUAUUAGACUUCAGGAAGAACUACUGUACAUCUGUGGAAGUCCGCUGUUCCCUGGUGGAGAAUUUCAGGAUAAGAUUGUAGUGCGAGAAGGGAUUAAUUGCCAGGCCCCAAUAGAGACAACAUACUAUGCAGGAAAAACACAGCUAUUUGAUGGAAUAUGCUUUCAUUGUGGGGAUAUUGAACCAACCACAUCCCCAGAAAUAGAAUCCUUAAAGAGGAUUCAUGGGAUUGUAAGACCCAUUUGCAAAACCUGUUUGCAAAUGGGCCACCCAGUUGUGACCAGAAAUUGUUUAAAAAAGCAAAAAACAAAAUAAAAAAAUAACGG
rnacentral:misc_RNA from 1 species